rnacentral:rRNA from 1 species
AGCAGCCGCGGUAAUUCCAGCUCCAAUAGCGUAUAUUAAAGUUGCUGCAGUUAAAAAGCUCGUAGUUGAAUUUCGGGACCAAUAUGUCGGUCGUGCCUCGGUACGUACUGGCAUCGUUGGUUUCUCCCUUCUGACGAACCAUGAUGUCAUUUAUUUGGUGUUAUGGGGAAUUAGGACUGUUACCUUGAAAAAAUUAGAGUGUUUAAAGCAGGCUAACGCUUGAAUACAUUAGCAUGGAAUAAUGAAAUAGGACGUUCGAUCCUAUUUUGUUGGUUUCUAGGAUUGACGUAAUGAUUAAUAGGGAUAGUUGGGGGCGAUUAGUAUUCAAUUGUCAGAGGUGAAAUUCUUGGAUUUAUUGAAGACUAACUACUGCGAAAGCAUUUGCCAAGGAUGUUUUCAUUAAUCAAGAACGAAAGUUAGGGGAUCGAAGACGAUCAGAUACCGUCGUAGUCUUAACCAUAAACUAUGCCGACUAGGGAUCGGAUGAUGUUAAUUUUUAAUUAGACUUCAAUUCGGCGCC